rnacentral:rRNA from 1 species
AUUGAACGCUGGCGGCAGGCCUAACACAUGCAAGUCGAGCGGCAGCGGGAAAGUAGCUUGCUACUUUUGCCGGCGAGCGGCGGACGGGUGAGUAAUGCCCGGGAAAUUGCCCAGUCGAGGGGGAUAACAGUUGGAAACGACUGCUAAUACCGCAUACGCCCUACGGGGGAAAGCAGGGGACCUUCGGGCCUUGCGCGAUUGGAUAUGCCCAGGUGGGAUUAGCUAGUUGGUGAGGUAAUGGCUCACCAAGGCGACGAUCCCUAGCUGGUCUGAGAGGAUGAUCAGCCACUCUGGAACUGAGACACGGUCCAGACUCCUACGGGAGGCAGCAGUGGGGAAUAUUGCACAAUGGGGGAAACCCUGAUGCAGCCAUGCCGCGUGUGUGAAGAAGGCCUUCGGGUUGUAAAACACUUUCAGCGAGGAGGAAAGGUUGAUGCCUAAUACGUAUCAACUGUGACGUUACUCGCAGAAGAAGCACCGGCUAACUCCGUGCCAGCAGCCGCAGUAAGAC